rnacentral:rRNA from 1 species
UACGUAGGGGGCAAGCGUUGUCCGGAUUUAUUGGGCGUAAAGAGCGUGUAGGCGGCCAGGUAGGUGGGUUGUGAAAACUGGAGGCUCAACCUUCAGACGUCGACCCAAACCCCUGGCUAGAGUCCGGAAGAGGAGAGUGGAAUUCCUGGUGUAGCGGUGAAAUGCGCAGAUAUCAGGAAGAACACCCGUGGCGAAGGCGGCUCUCUGGGACGGUACUGACGCUGAGACGCGAAGCGU